rnacentral:rRNA from 1 species
GGCUAAGUUAUUUAGGGCGCACGGUGGAUGCCUUGGCACAAGAAGCCGAUGAAGGACGUGUGAAUCUGCGAUAAGCCUCGGGGAGCCGAUAACAGGGCCGUGAUCCGAGGGUCUCCGAAUGGGGAAACCCCGCUGCCUGGAUGAUAAGGGCAGUGACCCGCACCUGAAUGUAUAGGGUGUGUGGAGGGAACGAGGGGAAGUGAAACAUCUCAGUACCCUCAGGAAGAGAAAAUAACGAAUGAUUCUGUGAGUAGUGGCGAGCGAAAGCGGAUGAGACUAAACCUUUGGUGUGUGAUACCGGUAAGGGGUUGCAUCAGGGGGGUUGUGGGAUGUGUCUGACCGGUUCUUACUUGGCCGGUGGCGUUGAUCGCGGGGGUAGGCGAAGCAUCUGGGAAGGUGCACUGGAAAGGGUGAGAGUCCCGUAGCCGAAACUUCUGUUGGUCGCGUUUGGACGCUGUUCCCGAGUAGCACGGGGCCCGUGAAAUCUCGUGUGAAUCUGCCAGGACCACCUGGUAAGUCUAAAUACUUUCUUGUGACCGAUAGUGAAUCAGUACCGUGAGGGAAUGGUGAAAAGUACCCCGGGAGGGGAGUGAAAUAGUACCUGAAACCGUGUGCCUACAAGCCGUCAGAGCAUUGCCUUGUGUGGUGUGAUGGCGUGCCUUUUGAAGAAUGAGCCUGCGAGUUAGUGCUGUGUCGCGAGGUUAACCCGUGUGGGGUAGCCGUAGCGAAAGCGAGUCUGAAUAGGGCGUUUACAGUGGCACGGUCUAGACCCGAAGCGGAGUGAUCUACCCAUGGCCAGGUUGAAGCGCGUGUAAGAGCGUGUGGAGGACCGAACCCACUUCAGUUGAAAAUGGAGGGGAUGAGCUGUGGGUAGGGGUGAAAGGCCAAUCAAACUCUGUGAUAGCUGGUUCUCCCCGAAAUGCAUUUAGGUGCAGCGUUGCGUGUUGCUUGCCUGAGGUAGAGCUACUGGUUGGCUGAUGGGCCUUAUCGGGUUACUGACGUCAGCCAAACUCCGAAUGCGGGUAAGUGUAAGCGCAGCAGUGAGACAGUGGGGGAUAAGCUUCAUUGUCGAGAGGGAAACAGCCCAGACCAUCAACUAAGGCCCCUAAGCGUGUGCUAAGUGGGAAAGGAUGUGGAGUUGCUGAGACAACCAGGAGGUUGGCUUAGAAGCAGCCACCCUUGAAAGAGUGCGUAAUAGCUCACUGGUCAAGUGAUUCUGCGCCGAUAAUGUAGCGGGGCUCAAGUACACCGCCGAAGUUGUGGCAAUAGCAUGUAUGUGUUAUUGGGUAGGGGAGCGUCGUGUAGCCAGUGAAGUCGCCGGGUGACCGAGUGGUGGAGGCUACGCGAGUGAGAAUGCAGGCAUGAGUAGCGAAUGAUGCGUGAGAAACGUAUCCGCCGAAUGAUCAAGGGUUCCAGGGUCAAGCUAAUCUGCCCUGGGUUAGUCGGGGCCUAAGGCGAGGCCGACAGGCGUAGUCGAUGGAUAACGGGUUGAUAUUCCCGUACCGAUUUCAAACCGCCCAUACCAAGCUGGGGAUACUAACCACUUCGGGCCGCCAUUUUACCGGGUUCUCAUCCUUCGGGGUGAGGGUCUUGGUGUGGUGGUUCCGCGUGGGACCUGAUCCGGUGCGGUAAACGCAUUAACAGGUGUGACACAGGAAGGUAGCCAAGCCACGCGGUGGUUGUCGUGGUCUAAGCGUGUAGGACGGGGAGUUGUUAAAUGCGCUUCCCGCAACAGGUCUGAGACGUGAUGGGACCCCCUUUUGUGGGGGGAUUUGGUGAUCCUAUGCUGUCGAGAAAAGCAUCGGCGUGAGGUUUGUGAAUUGCCCGUACCCUAAACCGACACAGGUGAUCAGGUAGAGAAUACUAAGGCGAUCGAGAUAAUCAUGGUUAAGGAACUCGGCAAAAUGCCCCCGUAACUUCGGGAGAAGGGGGGCCCUGAGCGUGAACUGCCCGUGCGGUGGGGAGCGUGUAGGGGUCGCAGAGACCAGGGGGAAGCGACUGUUUAUCAAAAACACAGGUCCGUGCGAAGUCGCAAGACGAUGUAUACGGACUGACUCCUGCCCGGUGCUGGAAGGUUAAGAGGACCCGUUAGCUUUUUUGGCGAAGCGGAGAAUUUAAGCCCCAGUAAACGGCGGUGGUAACUAUAACCAUCCUAAGGUAGCGAAAUUCCUUGUCGGGUAAGUUCCGACCUGCACGAAUGGAGUAACGACUUCCCUACUGUCUCAACCAUGAACUCGGCGAAAUUGCAGUACGAGUAAAGAUGCUCGUUACGCGCAGCAGGACGGAAAGACCCCGUGACCUUUACUAUAGUUUGGUAUUGGUGUUCGGUGUGGCUUGUGUAGGAUAGGUGGGAGACUGUGAAGCUAUCACGCUAGUGGUGGUGGAGUCGUUGUUGAAAUACCACUCUGGUCAUAUUGGAUAUCUAACUUCGGCCCAUGAUCUGGGUCAGGGACAGUGCCUGAUGGGUAGUUUAACUGGGGCGGUUGCCUCCUAAAGAGUAACGGAGGCGCCCAAAGGUUCCCUCAGCCUGGUUGGCAAUCAGGUGGCGAGUGUAAGUGCACAAGGGAGCUUGACUGUGAGACUGGCAGGUCGAGCAGGGACGAAAGUCGGGACUAGUGAUCCGGCGGUACAUUGUGGAAUGGCCGUCGCUCAACGGAUAAAAGGUACCUCGGGGAUAACAGGCUGAUCUUGCCCAAGAGUCCAUAUCGACGGCAUGGUUUGGCACCUCGAUGUCGGCUCGUCGCAUCCUGGGGCUGGAGUUGGUCCCAAGGGUUGGGCUGUUCGCCCAUUAAAGCGGUACGCGAGCUGGGUUCAGAACGUCGUGAGACAGUUCGGUCCCUAUCCGCUGCGUGCGUUGGAAAUUUGUGGAGACCUGUCCUUAGUACGAGAGGACCGGGACGGACGAACCUCUGGUAUGUCAGUUGUACCGCCAGGUGCAUGGCUGAUUGGCUACGUUCGGCAGAGAUAACCGCUGAAAGCAUCUAAGCGGGAAGCUUGCUUCGAGAUGAGAUUUCCUGACCCUCUUUGUGGGGGUGUGAGGCUCCCUGUAGAUGACGGGGUUGAUAGGCCAGGUAUGGAAGCGUCGACUAACGAGGCGUGAAGUUGACUGGUACUAAUAGGCCGAAGACUUAUCACA